ACAAGCUGGGAUCGGAGGCUGUCAGGGCGCAGUUACGGGCAGAUGGAAUUCGUGUACAAAGACAAGAGUACGCAGGAACUUGGUUCGAAUUAACCCAAGGGUAGCGGCACUACGGGCCAUGUCACAAAGACCACACAGAAGGCUGUAGAGUGUUGCUGGUCCAAACUCCCUGUGGCACCUAGAUGGCAACCAUAAAUUGAUAAGAUGGAGAAUUGUCAUUCACGGUGGUAUAGAUGGCUACAGUCGUCUUAUAGUUUUUCUUCGUGCCUCGAACAACAACAACCGCAGCAGCACCGUAAUGAAUAGCUUUUUGAAUGCUGUGACUUGACUUGGAGUGCCUUCUAGGGUCAGAACAGAUCAUGGAGGAGUAAACAGUGUUGUCUGUGUGAUGAUGAACCUUUUCAGGGGCUCCCAGACAGGCAGCGUAAUAAGAGGCAGGAGCAUUCACAACCAAAGAAUUGAGAGGCUCUGGGGUGACGUGGCGGGGAUUGACUAAUGUUUAUUAUAAUCUCUUCCACUUCCUGGAGGCUGAAGGUAUCUUGGACCUAGAUAAUGAAAUGCAUCUCUGGGCUCUUCACUUUUGCUG